GCCCCCGUAGCUCAGGGGACAGAGCAACGGUUUCCUAAACCGUGUGUCGCAGGUUCGAGUCCUGCCGGGGGCG
rnacentral:tRNA from 1 species